rnacentral:lncRNA from 1 species
CAUCUUUACCAUUGGGAUCCUCCUAUUCCUUAGAACUUUUUUUCUCUCGAUCAAGGAUCUCAACAAGAUACUCUUUGUAGGACAAGUCUGAACAAACUGGAAGUUUUUUAUUUGAAAUGAUGUGAGAAGGAUUAUGGUGGUACUUCCUGAGCAUGGAAAUAUGGAAGACAUCAUGUAGACCUAUGAAUUUUAGUGGCAAGGCAAUGCAGUAAGCCACAGAGCCAACAUAUUCAAAUAUCUCGAAAGGUCCUACAAAACAAGGACUUAAUUUUCCUCUCUUCCCAUGCCACAUGUUUCCCUUAUACAAAAAACCUUGAAGAAAACACGAUCACCCAUAAUAAAUUCCAAAUCCUUCCUUCGACUAUUGACAU